UGCGUAGGUGGUGCCCUAAGUCUGUUGUGAAAUCUCCCGGCUUAACUGGGAGGGUGCGGUGGAAACUGGGGUGCUUGAGUGUGGGAGAGGUAAGCGGAAUUCCUGGUGUAGCGGUGAAAUGCGUAGAUAUCAGGAGGAACACCGGUGGUGUAGACGGCUUACUGGACCACGACUGACACUGAGGCACGAAAGCGUGGGUAGCAAACAGGAUUAGAUACCCUGGUAGUCCACGCCCUAAACGAUGCAUACUUGGUGUGAGCCAUUCAUUUGGUUCGUGCCGGAGCUAACGCGUUAAGUAUGCCGCCUGGGGAGUACGGUCGCAAGGCUGAA
rnacentral:rRNA from 1 species